rnacentral:lncRNA from 1 species
GAGACGAGGCUGACCUUCUGACCGCGGUGCGUGCGCAGCUGGCCAGCUGGCGUUGGUCCAGUCAGCUGACUGAGGCCCUGGCCAGAGUGCGGUACCUGUACCAGCCACACCACCAGCGGGAGGUCUAGCCUGCGGCGGACAUCAGCUCCAGCGAGGACUAUGGCCGCCGCUGGCCGGUCGCUGCUCCUGUGGUGACUUCCCAGACAGCUACAGCCAGCCGUGGUUGGGUUGCUGGCAGCUGGUGAUGGACGCGGCGCAGCGCUGGAGCGGCCCGAUGUGGACGGGGCACGCGCCCGCCAGUAGACGCCACUCGUGCGUUCUGUUCGCCAGAGGCGCUCUGGUGGACACGUCAGUCACAUGGCUGCGGCGGCCGGUGUGUGCGACCAGGCCGUUGUGUCGGCAGGUACGAGUCUGUCACACGGCUGCAGUGGCCGGUCGCAGACUGCUGGCGCCUGCUCCGCGGAGGCCGUCCUGAGGUGCGGCCGGUUAGCAGUCACACAUCACGUGGCCGUCAGGCGGUCGGUGGCGUUGUCCGCCGUUGCCCUGUGAGCUCGUCUUUGUGACCCGUGCGGGCGUCCACUGGCGGCCUGGGAUGGCUCGCUGCGAGCCGGGCAGCGGGGGCGACCGUCUGCUGACCGCGCA